UAUAGUGUCUCAGUUGAACGAUAAUGAAGAACAAGAAAAACCAAUUAAAAACAACAAUAACAUUGACAACAGUAAGAGUUGUGUAGAAGUCGAUGAGCCACAGCGGAACAACAGCGCUGCUGCUGGUCCAAAACGCUACAUCAUGUCUUUCAGCAGCAGCACAGUUUGCCGUAUGCGUAAUAAGAAGAAAACAACCACAUUUCUAUAAAUAUAUUUACGGUUACGACAUUUACCACUAGGCGUACAAAAGCACACUCACCGAUAACAAAAAAAAAAUUCCAAAAAAAAAAAGUUGGAAGUCAGCGGUCAGCGGUUGAAAACGACACGUCGUGCCCAAACGCGUACGCCAAUUUUUUGUGCCUUAUUAUUAGUUGGUCCAGUCAGCGCGCACGCGCGCCACACACACAUUGCGAGUGUUCACGUCUGUAUUUGUGUAUAGCCAGCCGAUCAGGCGUAAAAGCAAGUCAAACUACGCUAUUUGGCGUGAUGACGCUUUAGGAAAUGCUUGGAACGCGUUGCCUUAGCUGAAGCUAAGCAUGCGCACGUUUUUUCAACGAGUCAUUAAG